UGACGGUACCCUACUAGAAAGGAGCCGCUAACUUCGUGCCAGAAGCGUCGGUAAUACGGGGGCUCCAAGCGUUAUCCGGUGUUAUUGGGCGUAAAGAGUCGUGUAGGUGGUUGGGUAAGUUAUCUUUCAAAUAUCUUUGCUUAACAAAGAGGAGGGGGAUAAUACUGCUCGACUAGAAUUUUCUCAAGGGAGAUCGGAACUGAGGGAGGAGUAGUGAAAUGCGUUGAUACCCUCGGGAACACCAGUGGCGUAGGCGGAUCUCUGGGAGAAGAUUGACACUGAGACACGAAAGCUAGGGGAGCGAAGCAGAUUAGAGACCUGCGUAGUCCUAGCCGUAAACGCAUGCUUGCUAGCUGCAUGAAUCUACCUUCGGGUGGUAUCGUGUGGCGAAGGUAACCCGUUAAGCAAGCCGCCUGGAAAGUACGGCCGCAAGGCUGAAAUUCAAAGGAAUUGGCGGGGAGGCACACAACCAGUGGAACAUGUGGUUUAAUUCGAGACUAACCGAAGAACCUCACCAGGGUUUGACAUGUAGCUGCACGUCUUAAGAAAUUAAGACUCUCUUGAAGGUGCUACACAGGUGCUGCAUGGCUGUCGUCAGCUCGUUCCGUGAGGAGUGCCCUUAAGUGGGACAACGAGCGCAACCCCUAUUACAUGUUAGAAAUGUCAUGUAAGACUGCCUUGCCAUUUGGCGGGGAGGAAGGAGGGGCAGACGUCAAGUCCGCAUGGUCCUUAUGCCCUGGGCUACACACAUGUUACAAUGAGUACGGCAAUGAGUCUGUCGCGAGCACGUAAGUGUAAGCUAAUCUCUUAAAUGUACUCUCAGUGGGGAUUGAGGUCUGCAACUCGACCUCAUGAACACGGAAUUGGUAGUAAUCGCGGGUCAGCUAUACCGCGGUGAUACGUUCUUGCCUCUGCACACACCGCCCGUCAAACCAGCAAAGUCGAUUGUAUCCGACCUCUCUUUUUGAGUGGGA
rnacentral:rRNA from 1 species